rnacentral:rRNA from 1 species
GACAGAGGGGGCAAGCGUUGCUCGGAAUUACUGGGCGUAAAGGGCGCGUAGGCGGAAUGGCAAGUCGGUCGUGAAAUCCUUCGGCUCAACCGAAGAACGUCGAUCGAAACUGCCGUUCUUGAGGAUUGCAGAGGAGACUGGAAUUCCCGGUGUAGCGGUGAAAUGUGUAGAGAUCGGGAGGAACACCGGUGGCGAAGGCGGGUCUCUGGGCAAUUUCUGACGCUGAGGCGCGAAAGCGUGGGGAGCGAACAGG